AGUGAACGCUGGCGGUAGGCCUAACACAUGCAAGUCGAACGGCAGCACAGUAAGAGCUUGCUCUUACGGGUGGCGAGUGGCGGACGGGUGAGGAAUACAUCGGAAUCUACUUUUUCGUGGGGGAUAACGUAGGGAAACUUACGCUAAUACCGCAUACGACCUACGGGUGAAAGCAGGGGAUCUUCGGACCUUGCGCGAUUGAAUGAGCCGAUGUCGGAUUAGCUAGUUGGCGGGGUAAAGGCCCACCAAGGCGACGAUCCGUAGCUGGUCUGAGAGGAUGAUCAGCAACACUGGAACUGAGAGACGGUCCAGACUCCUACGGGAGGCAGCAGUGGGGAAUAUUGGACAAUGGGCGCAAGCCUGAUCCAGCCAUACCGCGUGGGUGAAGAAGGCCUUCGGGUUGUAAAGCCCUUUUGUUGGGAAAGAAAAGCAGCAGGUUAAUACCCCGCUGUUCUGACGGGACCCAAAGAAUAAGCACCGGCUAACUUCGU
rnacentral:rRNA from 1 species